rnacentral:rRNA from 1 species
GAGUUUGAUCCUGGCUCAGGAUGAACGCUGGCGGUAUGCUUAACACAUGCAAGUCGAACGGAACCUUUCGGGGUUUAGUGGCGGACGGGUGAGUAACGCGUGAGAAUCGGCCCUCAGGUUGGGGACAACCAUUGGAAACGGUGGCUAAUACCGAAUAAGCCGAGAGGUGAAAGAUUAAUUGCCUGGGGAAGAGCUCGCGUCUGAUUAGCUAGUUGGUGGGGUAAAGGCCUACCAAGGCACCGAUCAGUAACUGGUCUGAGAGGAUGGCCAGUCACACUGGGACUGAGGCACGGCCCAGACUCCUACGGGAGGCAGCAGUGGGGAAUUUUCCGCAAUGGGCGAAAGCCUGACGGAGCAAUACCGCGUGGGGGAGGAAGGCUCUCGGGUCGUAAACCUCUUUUCUCAGGGAAGAAUAAAUUGACGGUACCUGAGGAAUCAGCAUCGGCUAACUCCGUGCCAGCAGCCGCGGUAAUGCGGAGGAUGCAAGCGUUAUCCGGAAUGAUUGGGCGUAAAGCGUCCGCAGGUGGCAGUGUAAGUCUGCUGUCAAAGGUCAGGGCUUAACCCUGAACAGGCAGUGGAAACUACACAGCUAGAGUGCGGUGGGGGCAGAGGGAAUUCCCAGUGUAGCGGUGAAAUGCGUAGAGAUUGGGAAGAACACCGGUGGCGAAAGCGCUCUGCUAGGCCGUAACUGACACUCAUGGACGAAAGCUAGGGGAGCGAAUGGGAUUAGAUACCCCAGUAGUCCUAGCCGUAAACGAUGGAUACUAGGCGUAGCUCGUAUCGACCCGAGCUGUGCCGUAGCUAACGCGUUAAGUAUCCCGCCUGGGGAGUACGCUCGCAAGAGUGAAACUCAAAGGAAUUGACGG